rnacentral:rRNA from 1 species
GACGAACGCUGGCGGCGUGCUUAACACAUGCAAGUCGAACGGAAAGGCCCUGCUUUUGUGGGGUGCUCGAGUGGCGAACGGGUGAGUAACACGUGAGUAACCUGCCCUUGACUUUGGGAUAACUUCAGGAAACUGGGGCUAAUACCGGAUAGGAGCUCCUGCUGCAUGGUGGGGGUGGGAAAGUUUCGGCGGUUGGGGAUGGACUCGCGGCUUAUCAGCUUGUUGGUGGGGUAGUGGUUUACCAAGGCUUUGACGGGUAGCCGGCCUGAGAGGGUGACCGGCGACAUUGGGACUGAGAUACGGCCCAGACUCCUACGGGAGGCAGCAGUGGGGAAUAUUGCACAAUGGGCGGAAGCCUGAUGAAGCAACGCCGCGUGCGGGAUGACGGCCUUCGGGUUGUAAACCGCUUUCGCCUGUGACGAAGCGUGAGUGACGGUAAUGGGUAAAGAAGCACCGGCUAACUACGUG